GACGAACGCUGGCGGCGUGCCUAAUACAUGCAAGUCGAGCGCAGGAAACUGACGGAACUCUUCGGAGGGAAGGCAGUGGAAUGAGCGGCGGACGGGUGAGUAACACGUAAGGAACCUGCCUCAAGGAUUGGGAUAACUCCGAGAAAUCGGAGCUAAUACCGGAUAGUUCAACGGACCGCAUGGCCCGCUGAUGAAAGGCGCUCCGGCGUCACCUUGAGAUGGCCUUGCGGUGCAUUAGCUAGUUGGUGGGGUAACGGCCCACCAAGGCGACGAUGCAUAGCCGACCUGAGAGGGUGAUCGGCCACACUGGGACUGAGACACGGCCCAGACUCCUACGGGAGGCAGCAGUAGGGAAUCUUCCACAAUGGACGAAAGUCUGAUGGAGCAACGCCGCGUGAGUGAUGAAGGUUUUCGGAUCGUAAAACUCUGUUGUAAGGGAAGAACACGUACGAGAGGGAAUGCUCGUACCUUGACGGUACCUUACGAGAAAGCCACGGCUAACUACGUGCCAGCCGCCGCAGUAAAAC
rnacentral:rRNA from 1 species